rnacentral:rRNA from 1 species
ACUCACGGAGCUGAAGUCAGUCGAAGAUACCAGCUGGCUGCAACUGUUUAUUAAAAACACAGCACUGUGCAAACACGAAAGUGGACGUAUACGGUGUGACGCCUGCCCGGUGCCGGAAGGUUAAUUGUCUUCCAGCAACCUCAACGGGCUGGCACGCCGCAAAUCACCAUCCUCGGCCGCCUGAAUUCGCUGGGGCAUCCCCGUAUCGGUCUUACCGUCGCCAAGAAAAAUGUUCGACGUGCGCAUGAACGCA